AACGAACGCUGGCGGCAGGCUUAACACAUGCAAGUCGAGCGCCCCGCAAGGGGAGCGGCAGACGGGUGAGUAACGCGUGGGAAUCUACUCAUCUCUACGGAAUAACGCAUGGAAACGUGUGCUAAUACCGUAUACGUCCUUCGGGAGAAAGAUUUAUCGGAGAUGGAUGAGCCCGCGUUGGAUUAGCUAGUUGGUGGGGUAAAGGCCUACCAAGGCGACGAUCCAUAGCUGGUCUGAGUGGAUGAUCAGCCACACUGGGACUGGGACACGGCCCAGACUCCUACGGGAGGCAGCAGUGGGGAAUAUUGGACAAUGGGCGCAAGCCUGAUCCAGCCAUGCCGCGUGAGUGAUGAAGGCCCUAGGGUUGUAAAGCUCUUUCACCGGUGAAGAUAAUGACGGUAACCGGAGAAGAAGCCCCGGCUAACUUCGUGCCAGCCGCCGCGGUAAAAC
rnacentral:rRNA from 1 species